AAGUAAUGAUGUUUUUAAUCCUAUUCCAUUUCUGAAGCAGAAGUGUGGAAAUAAAUUUACUGAACUU